UACGUAGGGGGCAAGCGUUGUCCGGAAUCCUUGGGCGUAAAGCGCGUGUAGGCGGCCCGAUAAGUCCGCUGUGAAAGUCCAGGGCUCAACCCUGGGAUGCCGGUGGAUACUGUCGGGCUCGAGUCCGGAAGAGGCGAGUGGAAUUCCUGGUGUAGCGGUGAAAUGCGCAGAUAUCGAGAGGAACACCUGCGGCGAAGGCGGGUUGCUGGGCCGACACUGACGCUGAGGCGCGAAAGCUAGGGGAGCGAACGGG
rnacentral:rRNA from 1 species